rnacentral:lncRNA from 1 species
GUUAUAAAUGACAUAGCUACAUAUAUGUGUAUUGGAAUUACGCUAUAGUUAUGUCGUGAUUACGAUUUAGUUAUCUUGUUAUAAUGACAUAGCUACAUAUAUAUGUAUCGUAAUUACGCUAUAGUCAUGUCGUGAUUACGAUUUAGUUAACUUGUUAUAAUGACAUAGGUUCUUAUAUGUGUAUCUUAAUUACGCCAUAGUGAUGUCGUGAUUAGGAUUUAGUUAUCUUGUUAUAAUGACAUAGCUACAUAUAUGUGUGUCGUUAUUACGCCAUAGUCAUGUCGUGAUUUCAUUUUAGUUAUUUUGUUAUAAUGACAUUAUUACGUCAUACUCAUCUCGUGAUUACGAUUUAGUUAUCUUGUUAUAAUGACAUAGCUACAUAUAUAUGUAUCGUAAUUACGCUAUAGUCAUGUCGUGAUUACGAUUUAGUUAUCUUGUUAUAAUGACAUAGCCUCUUAUAUGUGUAUCGUAAUUAUGCCAUAGUUAUGUCGUGAUUACGAUAUAGUAUUGUGUUAUAAUGACAUCGAUAUAUUUACGUGUAUCAUUAUUACGACAUACCUGUUUACGAGAGUUUAGUUUGGUUUAGCUUAUUUCAUUGUUAAUUGCUUAAAAAGUCGCUUUCAUUUGAAAAUUACAACUACGGUUAAUAAUUUGCCCGAACAAUUAAAAUACCACUGUUUUGGCGACCAAUACCUACUCCAUCAUAUCCGAUUUAUUAAUGAUGUUUGUAAGACAAUAAAUAGUACUUGAAAUGAAUGAAACACUCAGAUUAAAUAAACGUCGAUUAAAGUGCCAGAAAAGGUUUAAAUAUUAUUCUCUUUGUGAAAACUGUUAUUGACGCACAAUGUUAGCAGUCAUUCUUGGGCUCUAUAUUCAUACACGGCAAUACACAGUGACAGUUAUGCUCUCAUAAAUGACUGUCCUCAAUGAAAGGAUAUUGAAGGGCAUUGGCACAUCAAAUGAAAAUAUAAUUUAUAUUGCGGAGGCUUUUUUCCCAUUAAACACAAUAAGUUCACAAUCAAUCGGCUGUAUGGAUAAAAACUAACUACGUCAAAUUUUAAAAAGAGCGAAAUGUGCCGAUCAACCAGUGGUUUUACUCCAAAUGUUGUUAAAUAAAGUGACAUACAUGACAUAUACAAAAUAUAUGGAAGCAUACAAAGUGGUCUGUCGAUACAGAGAUCUAAACAAAUCAUGUUCAUUAUUUUCUCUAUUGCAACAUCAGUGGAACUAAAUGUCAAUAAAUUAGAAAAACAACUUCAAUCUAUGAUAAUCGUAUACACAAUGUAGCUAGACUGUCAUACUACCGACACACUAGGUAGCACUAACUGACACACUAGGUAGCACUAACCGACACACUAGGUAGCACUAACUGACACACUAGGUAGCACUAACCGACACACUAGGUAGCACUAACCGGCACACUAGGUAGCACGAACCGACACACUAGGUAGCACUAACCGACACACUAGGUAGCACUAACCGACACACUAGGUAGCACUAACCGACACACUAGGUAGCACUAACCGACACCCAAGGUAGCACUAACCGACUUCCAUAUGUUGACUUAACCUUUCACAAAUACAUGUGUCCUCCUAACUGAUUCGUUUGAUGAAAUAUAACAUUAGUGAUACCAUACGUUACCUCUUCCAUGUGUUACCGUGUACAAUUAUUGCUUUACUUUACGGGUGUAUUGAAUUAAAUCACUGGCUCCAUAACUAUCUCAAGUUCAUCCUUUUGUCAUAUAACAUUGUAAACUUUGUUUUUGAUGAUGAUUAAAGUGGACAUUUUGUCGCGUUGUCACAUUUAUUUCAUGUGAUGAUUUAUUUUCUGUCACGUACAAAGGUAGAUAACUUGUUCCAGAUUUAUGCAUUUCAAUAGUCUUCAUAUUUUGGGCAUACAUAAUGCACAUUCGAUUUUCUAUUCGUGUUCAUACAAUUUCAUAAAUAUUGCCCGUAUCCUAAGUCUUGGGUGCCUGUCGUUGAUUUAACUGUAUUUAUCGUUCAGUUGUUUGUUAUUGAUUUAAUUUUAUUGAUCGGUUAUUCAAUCAAUAUUUACAAUGUGCGUUGUAUUGCCGAAUAUUAUUGUGAUUCAAUUAGGACAUGACUAUACAUGUUGCGCCUUUGAUCAGGUGGAAGUUCUUAUAUACAUCAAAUAACUAUCGUAUUAACAAAUAAUGAAGGAGUGUGCUGCCCCUAAAGUUGUACUAUUGUCAUGGUAAACGCUAAGGAGAGAUCACGUUAAAUGAAGGAGUGUGCUGCCCCUAAAGUUGUACUCUGGCCAUGGUAAACGCUAAGGAGAGAUCACGUUAAAUGAAGGAGUGUGCUGCCCCUAAAGUUGUACUCUGGUCAUGGUAAACGCUAAGGAGAGAUCACGUUAAAUGAAGGAGUGUGCUGCCCCUAAAGUUGUACUCUGGUCAUGGUAAACGCUAAGGAGAGAUCACGUUAAAUGAAGGAGUGUGCUGCCCCUAAAGUUGUACUCUGGUCAUGGUAAACGCUAAGGAGAGAUCACGUUAAAUGAAGGAGUGUGCUGCCCCUAAAGUUGUACUCUGGUCAUGGUAAACGCUAAGGAGAGAUCACGUUAAAUGAAGGAGUGUGCUGCCCCUAAAGUUGUACUCUGGUCAUGGUAAACGCUAAGGAGAGAUCACGUUAAAUGAAGGAGUGUGCUGCCCCUAAAGUUGUACUCUGGUCAUGGUAAACGCUAAGGAGAGAUCACGUUAAAUGAAGGAGUGUGCUGCCCCUAAAGUUGUACUCUGGUCAUGGUAAACGCUAAGGAGAGAUCACGUUAAAUGAAGGAGUGUGCUGCCCCUAAAGUUGUACUCUGGUCAUGGUAAACGCUAAGGAGAGAUCACGUUAAAUGAAGGAGUGUGCUGCCCCUAAAGUUGUACUCUGGUCAUGGUAAACGCUAAGGAGAGAUCACGUUAAAUGAAGGAGUGUGCUGCCCCUAAAGUUGUACUCUGGUCAUGGUAAACGCUAAGGAGAGAUCACGUUAAAUGAAGGAGUGUGCUGCCCCUAAAGUUGUACUCUGGUCAUGGUAAACGCUAAGGAGAGAUCACGUUAAAUGAAGGAGUGUGCUGCCCCUAAAGUUGUACUCUGGUCAUGGUAAACGCUAAGAAGAGAUCACGUUAAAUGAAGGAUUGUGCUGCCCCUAAAGUUGUACUCUGGUCAUGGUAAACGCUAAGGAGAGAUCACGUUAAAUGAAGUAGUGUGCUGCCCCUAAAGUUGUACUAUUGUCAUGGUAAAUACUAAGGAGAGAUCACGUGUAAAGAAGGAGUGUGCUGCCCCUAAAGUUGUACUCUGGUCAUGGUAAACGCUAAGGAAAGAUCACGUUAAAUGAAGGAGUGUGCUGCCACUAAAGUUGUACUCUGGUCAUAGUAAAUACUAAGGAGAAAUCACGUUAAAUGAAGGAGUGUGCUGCCCCUAAAGUUGUACUCUGGUCAUGGUAAACGCUAAGGAGACAUCACGUUAAAUGAAGGUGUGUGCUGCCCCUAAAGUUGUACUCUGGCCAUGGUAAAUACUAAGGAGAGAUCACGUUAAAUGAAGGAAUGUGCUGCCCCUAAAGUUGUACUCUGGUCAUGGUAAACGCUAAGGAGAGAUUCCGUUA